AUUGAACGCUGGCGGCAUGCUUUACACAUGCAAGUCGAACGGUAACAGGCCGCAAGGUGCUGACGAGUGGCGAACGGGUGAGUAAUGCAUCGGAACGUGCCCAGUCGUGGGGGAUAACGCAGCGAAAGCUGCGCUAAUACCGCAUACGAUCUAUGGAUGAAAGCGGGGGACCGUAAGGCCUCGCGCGAUUGGAGCGGCCGAUGUCAGAUUAGGUAGUUGGUGGGGUAAAGGCUCACCAAGCCGACGAUCUGUAGCUGGUCUGAGAGGACGACCAGCCACAGUGGGACUGAGACACGGCCCAGACUCCUACGGGAGGCAGCAGUGGGGAAUUUUGGACAAUGGGCGCAAGCCUGAUCCAGCAAUGCCGCGUGCAGGAAGAAGGCCUUCGGGUUGUAAACUGCUUUUGUACGGAACGAAACGGUCUGGGUUAAUACCCUGGGCUAAUGACGGUACCGUAAGAAUAAGCACCGGCUAACUACGUGCCAGCCGCCGCCGUAACAC
rnacentral:rRNA from 1 species